AAUUAGAAAGCGAAUUAUUGCAUUUAGUUUCGACCUAAACCUUGGCCUUCUAGCCUCUAAUUA
rnacentral:tRNA from 1 species